rnacentral:rRNA from 1 species
GAUGAACGCUAGCUACAGGCUUAACACAUGCAAGUCGAGGGGAACCGAUAGGGAAAGCUUGCUUUUUCUAGGCGUCGACCGGCGCACGGGUGAGUAACGCGUAUCCAACCUGCCCAUCACUUGGGGAUAACCUUGCGAAAGUAAGACUAAUACCCAAUGACGUCUCUAGAAGACAUCUGAAGGAGAUUAAAGAUUUAUAGGUGAUGGAUGGGGAUGCGUCUGAUUAGCUUGUUGGCGGGGUAACGGCCCACCAAGGGGACGAUCAGUAGGGGUUCUGAGAGGAAGGUCCCCCACAUUGGAACUGAGACACGGUCCAAACUCCUACGGGAGGCAGCAGUGAGGAAUAUUGGUCAAUGGACGAGAGUCUGAACCAGCCAAGUAGCGCGCAGGAAGACGGCCCUAUGGGUUGUAAACUGCUUUUAUAAGGGAAUAAAGUGAGUCUCGUGAGACUUUUUGCAUGUACCUUAUGAAUAAGGACCGGCUAAUUCCGUGCCAGCCGCCGCGGUAA